rnacentral:rRNA from 1 species
UCGAAGGUAGCAUAAUCAGUAGUCUUUUAAUUGAAGGCUGGUAUGAAUGGUUGGACGAGAAAUUAACUGUUUCAUGAAAAUUUAUGAUAGAAUUUUAUUUUUUAGUCAAAAAGCUAAAAUUUAUUUAAAAGACGAGAAGACCCUAUAAAUCUUUAUAUAAGUUUUAUUAUAAUUUUUUAGAUUUAUUUUGUUAUAAUGAAUUAUUAUAUUUUAUUGGGGUGAUAUUAAAAUUUAAUAAACUUUUAAUUUUUAUAAUCAUUAAUAUAUGAAUAAAUGAUCCGUUAAUAACGAUUAAAAAAUUAAGUUACUUUAGGGAUAACAGCGUAAUUUUUUUGGAGAGUUCAUAUCGAUAAAAAAGAUUGCGACCUCGAUGUUUGGAUUAA